UCCUUCAUAUUCUGGAGCCAGUGCUAGGGGC
rnacentral:piRNA from 1 species